UACGUAGGGUGCGAGCGUUAAUCGGAAUUACUGGGCGUAAAGCGUGCGUAGGCGGUUCGCUGUGUCCGAUGUGAAAGCCCCGGGCUUAACCUGGGAAUGGCAUUGGAAACUGGCGGGCUUGAGUGCGGCAGAGGGGGGUGGAAUUCCGCGUGUAGCAGUGAAAUGCGUAGAGAUGCGGAGGAACACCGAUGGCGAAGGCAGCCCCCUGGGUCGACACUGACGCUCAGGUGCGAAAGCUAGGGGGAGCGAACAGG
rnacentral:rRNA from 1 species